rnacentral:rRNA from 1 species
AUUGAACGCUGGCGGCAUGCCUUACACAUGCAAGUCGAACGGCAGCAUGGAGAGCUUGCUCUCUGAUGGCGAGUGGCGAACGGGUGAGUAAAGCAUCGGAACGUACCGUGUAGUGGGGGAUAACGUAGCGAAAGUUACGCUAAUACCGCAUACGCACUGAGGUGGAAAGCAGGGGAUCGCAAGACCUUGCGCUAUACGAGCGGCCGAUGUCAGAUUAGCUAGUUGGUAGGGUAAAGGCCUACCAAGGCGACGAUCUGUAGCGGGUCUGAGAGGAUGAUCCGCCACACUGGGACUGAGACACGGCCCAGACGCCUACGGGAGGCAGCAGUGGGGAACUUUGGACAAUGGUGGCAACCCUGAUCCAGCCAUGCCGCGUGAGUGAAGAAGGCCUUCGGGUUGUAAAGCUCUUUCGGCCGGGAAGAAAUCGCACAGGCUAAUACUCUGUGUGGAUGACGGUACCGGCAUAAGAAGCACCGGCUAACUACGUGCCAGCCGCCGCGGUAA